GCUAGUAAGACCCUCAAAACAAUUCAAGAGCUCUUAUAACAUACUAAUUAUGAUUGCACCAAAUUAAAGUGUUCAAACCCAAAUUGGAUACACCAACUUGAAUUUGAAGGGAAUGUUAAAAUAUUAGAAAUAUUCUAUAAUAAUUCCUUCUUGAUUUAGUCUGAAAAUAUGGACUAAAUAUUCAGAAUUAUUGGCAUCAAAACACCAACGCAUAUCAAUGAUUAUCAGAGGUUUCCACGAUAUUAAUAGAGCUAUCUUGACUCUUACCUGAGAUUACAUUGUAAUGUGGAACAUAUUCUGGUGCUAAAAUUUAAUACUCUACAAAAUUUCUUCGAUGAACAGCGGCUCCAGAUGCUCUCCAAGUUUAUGAUACACAAACGAAGUUGGAUGUAACGCUGUCCAGAUGAACAUCCCGUCUUUGCUCUCUGAAUCAUUUUACCUUGUUCUUCAAAUGUUUGUGCAAACUUGUUCCGUCAAACAAAAUUUCUACAGUGAAAGUGAUGAAUUGUCACAGUUGUACAACGGAAGUUGGUCUUCCGUUGUACAAAGUAAGAAACACACCUUAAAAAUCACACAUAGUGCGACAGGAGAUGAGAUGUAGAACACUUCAAUCUGCAACUCUGUCCCAGGUGAACAUCCCCGAAUACAUAUCUGCAUCAUUGUAACCGGGGAAAGGUGGCCUAAAUACACAAAAGGAGAAUAUUUUGCAAAAUUUAAUUUGAACAUUCUUACCUGUAUUCACAAUGUUCAGACCAUGCACAUCGAGCUUUCCCGUAAUCCCAAUAGCAGUCCUCAUCCCUCAGAGGCCCACGCUUUGCUUUUUGUUGCAAUACUUACAAUGUCAAUAGAAACUCAACAUUUAUAGAAGAAAAUAGUGAGGAAUCAGACACCACCUUUUGUAACAAAGUUAGACUUUUUAUCAGGAUGAAUAUCAUGCCACAUCUCAAGCCACAGCUCCCGCAUCAAAGCUGAAGAUCUGACAAUGUUCCUGUGAUUUGCUACCCAAGAAAAUUUACAGUCAUCAGAUCAAAGAUUGCCACGAGGUGUAAGAUGUCUAAGCUUGAUUCAAUAUCUUAUAUCUAGAACAAUCCAACAUUACCAAAUUCAUUAUAUGCAAUUGUACAAGAUCUUUAAUAUUGCAUCAUAUGGAAGCUGAAUAUCAUAUAUGCUAGAUUGGGAGUUAUACAUGGAUGAACCAUGUCUUAAUUAUGUCCAGUAUCAAAUGCUUGCAACUGUCUUAAACUGAUGAAGAACUCAGAAAAGUAAUAUUCGUCAAUGGAAUUGGGCAAGCUCUCAAAACAUGCUACUCAGGCAAGCUGGAAAUUCCAAUGUCUGCUUUUUGAACAAAAAUAUAAGUUUUCGCCCAAAAACUUAAUGAUCCAAGAACAAAAUGUAGAGGCAAACUUGUUCAAUUUCGCAUUGUUAAGGGGAAAAUUUGGCCCUUUUCCCUAAAAAUUAGGAAAACAGAGAGGAAAGUAAAGAAAUAAUAGGUGAGAAAUUUCACAUCAUAAAAGAAGAAAAUAAACUGCAUUCCGAAGCUUUUGGGUAUUUAACAGGUAAAGCACAGCCACAAAUGAGAUGUAGGAAAUCAGACAGUGAACCAGAAGAAAUAAAUGUUUAUUUUCUAGCCAACAGAGGAAGUGAGAGAGGGUUAAAUAACCAAGAAAUUCCUUUAGGAAACUUAAAUAAGAAAAUGGAAAUUGAAUAUAUCAGAUACCUUUAUCAAGCUCCCAAACUGCUGUUCUCGUUCCUGGAAAACUUUCAGAAUCCUCAUAAUAGGUUAUGUACUUCAUUGUAGGUAACUUUGUCAUAUUGGGAAUGAUAUCUUCACCAUGUUGAUGCUCUAUAUUUUGAUGCACUUGUACAUCUGAGCCAUCAUGCUCUGACUGAUGUUGUCAAAGACAGAGAGUAAGAUAGACUGCAGUUGCUGGUGAGUAGCCAAUAUAAAUGCUCAAAUCAUUCAUAAGCAAGCUUAGCAGAAAACUGGAGAGUAUGAGGUCAUGUGACUACAUUUUCAUGAGUAUGUUAUGUUUCACACAUGAAGUCAAUUAGGUGAAAGGGAUCUAAUGAAAUAACAUUGCAUAGCUUGGUUAUUUAGGCCCUCGAUCCGAAUGAACCAUCCUUUCCAAGAAAGUCCAUCUUUGUUCCACGCAGGACGAUUAAUUAGGAUUGAGGACCCAAAUCAUUCAGUUGGGGGAGCUGCCGCAUUGACCUUCUCAGACCCUGACUGUCCAACCUGAGACCAGAUGAACUGCUGAACUGGAAAAAGUUGGAUGUAGUUCUAACUGCACUCAAAAGUAGGGCUGUUGGGACCACACUAACACUGAGAAAUGGACUGUUUUGUAGAAAAAGGUGGGGAUCUUUAAAAUGUAUUGCAUCAGACGUUCAAGUAUCUGAGAAAUUACUACAAUUGUCAGACAUAUCAUAAUGUAUGCUCUUCUAAUGUGUCUGUGCAGGAUGGUGAGAUUGUGUUGGAGCUGUUUUCAUACGCUUAAUAUGAUCAGAAAUCUUCCCCAUAAUUAGUGCAAGUAAAGGAGGUAAUAAUGGUUGUGGUAUUCCAAUUUGACUGAGAAUGAGAUCAAACAAAAUAUCAGAUACCACUUACCAGUUUAAAAAAUAAAAAUAAAAUUCAGAUACCAAAAAGGAAGAUGGGUGAUUUGGCCUUCAAAAUCAUACAACAGAACUGAUCAGGGGAACAAUGGUAUCUUAGAUAACUAAUACCUAUUACAGUGAUACCUGUGGUGUCCUUGUUAUGUUCACUUUUGGCCCCAGCCAAUUCUUGCACCAGGAGAGGGAAUGGUAUGGCACCUGCGAAUCUGCUUCACUUAAUAAAAAAAGAAUCCCUUGCUUGUACUCAUAGUCAUAGAUAUGAAAGUUAUCAUAAUCAAACGGACCUGUUUAAGUUAAAAAUUACACUACUUAUGUCAGAUUUUUGCAGCUAACUCAUAAUUCUAAUAUAAACGUUACCGUUUGUCACACAUAAUAUAGUGAAAUUUAUUUCACAUCUUAAGACUACAAUUAUCUAAAGUUCAUUUUAGACAUAUUUACUUACCAUAUGUAAGUAGCCUUGUACUCCUAUACAAGAAGCCACUUUAGUACAUUGUCAAUCAACCAAGCCAAUGAGUCUUUUAUGUUAUUUCUUCUAAUUGCAGGUUAAAGAGGGAGGUUUGUUACAGUAAUCCAACUAAAGAGAGCUUUAUAAACUUAAACAUGCAUGAUUUUAUCGUUCAUCAUACCGUCUCAUCCCCACUUGUUGCACCCGGGUAUCCUUCAACUAGAUUUCCUGACCUAAAAGGAGAAAAAAAUGAGAUACUGAAAGGGAUCCAAAUGUUCAAAUAGUCAGUGUUCAAUCAAUGAGAGGAAACAAGUUAACAUAUAUCUUCUCAAUGUAUAGAUUAAUAUGUACAAGCAGAAAAUAAUCUCAUAUUCAAUAGGAAGAAUGAUCAAUUAAGUAUCAUACAUAAUAUCAUACUCAACAUUGUCUGUAUGGAAAUUAAAUACUAGGACUAAACUUUGGAGCUUGGGGAUUUUAAAAGAAGGAUACAAUGUCCUGCAUGCAUUAUUCAAAUUUACAUAAAUCAUGCAACCUAAUCCUCUAUUUUAUUUUCAACCCUUAAAACUUUCUGUCUCAGUGAAGCUGUGAAAGACCCCCAUGACAUGGAUGAGGAAAAGAACAUGAUGAAGUAAGAGCAAUAAUAACAAGUGAAAAACCAUGUUCAGAUGUGCUAUUUAGAGAGAGCUUUUCAAAAUAUGCUAUCAAGAUGCAGAAGUCAAGUUACCGGGAGUACAGAGAUCCUUCGAUUUCAUAUAUCACAUCUGUUAUAAUCCAAUUAUCAGGAUAAGGCUUCCCACUUGGUGCAAAAUAGUAACCAACCUGCCAUUCAACAUGAAGAAACCAGAAAAAUAUUCAGGAUCAUAUAUUGAUUGAAGAGCAUAACUAGAAGAGGAGAAUAUAAUCACAUAGAGGCAAGUAAUGAUAGCGUGGACAGAAGACUAAAAGUUAGGGUCUAUUGGAAGAAGCCUCUCUACCCCACAAAGGUAGGGGUAAGGUCUGCGUACACCCCACCCUCCCCAGACCCCACUUGUGGGAUCAUACUGGGUAUAUUGUUGUUGUUGUCGUUGACAGAAGACUAAAAGUUAUUAAGUGGGGGUAGUAGAGGUAGACAGAGGUUGAUUCAUAGAGAAAAAUAGAAAACUUGGGGGAACGCUAUAACUCGCUUGUUUCAUUUCCUUUUCUUUUUCCAUAUCACUAUUUCUUCAAUCAGGGUCAUUCGGAAACAACCUCUCUAUCUCUGCGAGGUAGUGGUAAGGUCUGCGUACACCCCACCCUCCCCAGACCCCACUUGUGGGAUCAUACUGGGUAUAUUGUUGUUGUUGUCGUUGACAGAAGACUAAAAGUUAUUAAGUGGGGGUAGUAGAGGUAGACAGAGGUUGAUUCAUAGAGAAAAAUAGAAAACUUGGGGGAACGCUAUAACUCGCUUGUUUCAUUUCCUUUUCUUUUUCCAUAUCACUAUUUCUUCAAUCAGGGUCAUUCGGAAACAACCUCUCUAUCUCUGCGAGGUAGUGGUAAGGUCUGCGUACACUCUACCCUCCCCAGACCCCACUUGUGGGAUUCCACUGGGUAUGUUGUUGUUGUUGUUGUACUAUUUCUUCAAUCAUCAUCUUUUUCUUGCUUUUUUCUUCACUCUCUUGCCGCAAACAACAGAUGGAUAUGAAUAUGGCAGCAAGCUCUUCCUUUAGAAAAUGAAAAUGAAAAAAAAAGAAUGGCAGCCAAAAUUUUCAAGAAAUCAAACAUUCUAGAUCACAGCUAACAUGACAUGGUUGUAAAUAAAAAUGUGGACUUUCUGUUUCUGAUUUCUUAAGCCCCAGAUCAAAAGAGGCCUCUUAAAAAAUUUCAAGUCAGAAAUUUCAACAGAAUACUUAAAAGAAUUUGAGAUCCAAACAGAUACUUCCGUCACAAAGUUUCCAUGUGAAAGCAAUACGGACAAAGAAUUAUAACAGACAUGCCUAGGGUGAUCAACAACAGACAAACUUACAACCUUCUUGCUGUAAGUUUCAUAUAUAGUAUUACUCCACCUGUAACAUAAUAUGCAAAGUUUGAAGGCUAAUUCAAGGGUUUCUAGCCAUCCUAUCAACUUCAGAUGAAGGGUCAUCUAGAGAACUAUUUUUUUACUUUAGGUUUUGAAGAAGUUCAGAAAUCAAUACAAUAAUGAAUUCUCUGCUAAACGAGCGCAAAAAAAGUUGAUUUAGUGUGUGUGCUGAUUUAGUGCAAAACAAGCAAUACUGACACUUGAGAAGAGAAGAAUACCUACUGCCUAAUCAUCCAUGUUAAUAUACAUAUGCACAAUAACAUAAUGAAUUUCAAAACUGGAUGAGCAAAAACUUGACACUUGAGAAGAGAAGAAUACCUCAGUCUUCGAAUCUACGCCAUAAAUGCAGAAUAUGUUCUUGAGGGGUGGUCUUUCCCAAGGUGUUAGAGGAUUUAAAAUCGGAUCAUCAUGGUAAGACCUGAAUUUUAGAUGGCAGAACAUGGUAUAGCUAGGAAUAGUUAGCAAAGAAAUAAAGAAAAAAUAAGACAAUAGCCAAUAACUCAUGGAAAAACAAAAAGAUAAGAAAAGAAAGUAUGCACAUGAUAAGCUAACAUAAACUACUUCCACCAUACAAUAUUCUUUUAAAUAAAGAGAACUUAAUCGUUGACCAAGUUUUAUUUAGUUACUGUAUCCAUCUGAUAUUUACAACCAACUUAGGCUAGCUUGAAGAUCAAAAGAAGUUCGAAUAAAUACAACUGAAUUAGCAUAAUAACAUUGAUAGCACCCAUUUAUCCUCGGAUAUCAUAUUUCUCCGUUUGGUUUCAAAAAUUACAACCGCAAACUCUGGUUCAAUACUUUAUACUAGAAAAUUUCAACUAUUAGUAAAUGCUACUCUCUCUUUAUAUUUCAAUUUUUAGUUAAUCAAUUUUUUCUCGUUAACUUUAUUUAUAUAGGAUUUUGAAUUGAUUUUCAAUUUUCUCCAUAUAAUUUCCCGGUGAAAUGGAUUACAGCGACCUGCAUAACUGAUUAAUGAUAGUUUUGGAAUAAAAAGUAGCAAAUAAAUACUCCCUUCAUUUCAGUUUAUGUGACAGCAUUUCCUUCUAAACCCGUUGCAAGAAGAAUGAUAAUUGUCUAAAACAAAUUUUAAAAAUAGGUUUAACUUAAACUUCUCGUUUCACCCUUAAUGACAAUUUUUUUCUAUAAUAAGAUAGAUAUAGACAAGCUCUUAUAGGCUAUAGCCACACAAAUGUUAAGGCAUGUUUAAGAUCAAAAGUUUCAAAAGUCUUAUAAGUCACUCAAAUGUUAAAGCGUGUUUAAGACCACAAGUUUCAAAAGGCUUCAUUUCUUUCUGGAACUCCGUGCCCAGUCAAAUUUUGCAUAUAAUUGAAAUGAAAAGAGUAAUAAAUUAUACAAUCAGUAUUCAAUGAUCUAUCAAAAAUAAAACUUUUAAAUGCACUAUUCUAAUAAUUCACUGUGGCACAGUAGAUACCCUAUGCAACAGUGUUUAGGUUGAAACUGUAGUUAUGCAAUUCAUGAUAAAUUUGGUGUCUUUAAUUGAUAUAUAGGAGGUGUGAGAGGUUGGUUAUGGCAGGUACGAGGAGAGGUAGAGGAAGGUUGAAAAAAUUCAUUUCCUUCAACGAAAAGCUCAACUAUAUUUUGAAUUUAUUGAAUAUGUUACAUUAUAAGCAUCAACGACACUAUCAUUUUUGAUGACCAAAGCUUUUAACCAAUACAUCAAGGAGACUAUCUUCUUAUCACAUUAUCUGAAAAUGUUGCAUGGCAUAAAAGGAUUUGUAGAUUUGAUAGGAAGCUUGUAAUUGCUCUCUUUUGGAGGUGGCCAGCAUAACCUUAAUGCUGAUGAAGGCAAUUUACCAAUUUCAAAACAAAAAAAAGAAAAGGAUUUGCUGUUAUACUCACUUUUUUAAAAGGUGAAAGAGUCUUUCACUGUCAGGAUCAUAAUUCUUUAUGGCUUUGAAAAAGGUUCCGUCAGAGACUUCACGAGCAGAAAAGGACAAUUGUGUCGGGAAUCCACAUUCCAUUCCAGACAAGUUGGUUUGGGCAGUUUCUACAACUGAUGGAUAAACCUCAUUCCCUGCUAAGACAUAUUAAAAGCUCAUUAACACAAGUUAUGCUAAAGACACAACAUGCUUGUUGGCCUUUCGGUCAUACCUCGAAUCGAAGGAACUUCAAUAUUGAUUAUGUUUGUUGGCCAGCCAGAGUACUUCGAUUUAAGUUCAUGCUCAUCGCAAUGGUAGGCAUGAUGGUAUUUUCUGUUUCCACCAGAGAAAUGUCUCCGAUAUACAUUAUCAGUUGUACAAUGUUUUGAAAAUGGUAACAUCCAUAUAGAAGAUCCAAACGUAUUGAACAUCAGGCGAGCUGUCCCCUGAUAACUUGGAAAACAUAGGCAUCAUAUCUAUGCAGAAUUGCAGAUAUUGAAAAGCAUAAGACAAACUAUAAUCUUUAGACACUCCAAGAUAAUGAACAGUAUCACACAUAUUACUCAAUGAAGUGCAAAAGACCUUGUAAUAAAAAGAAUAAAAAGUAAUCAAUCUUUAAGAGAAGAACCUAGUUUAUGCGAGUCAUGUACUCCAACUUUUUUCUUUCCUUUUUUAUUGUGGCCAUGUCACUUUUACUUAAACAUGGUGAAAAAUGGGGCCUCUCCAAAUUCCAUCUUCUUCUUUUUGAAUGGAGAAGUGUUACGUGCUAUUUUACAAAGAACAAACACUCUCCUGUUUGUCACCAAUCUCUUGUGUUUAAAAAUAUUACAGGAAGAGAAAGAAAACGAAUGGGGAAACACUCAAACUAGGUGCACACAGAGAAAGAAGGGGGCAAAAAUGGCAAGUACAAUGCAUAGUAACUGCAGGAACACUGGAACAAGUGGAAGGAGCAUCCUCUGUUAUCAUAACAUCCAGAUCCCAGACAUUAUUUUCCAGACAUCCUCUGUUGUCUCUAUAUCUUCACCUGCCUAUAUCUCUUCCAGAAUUUAGUUGUACUUUUUGUUGUUGAAAGCCUAUGAACUUCAGAAUUUUCCCUUGAUUUUCCCCAUAGUAUAGGUACUGCUUGUGUUAGUUUUAUCAUUGUGUAUUAACUGGUUUGUUGUAUUAUCUGAUUGCGUUUAACUUACUUUAGCUUUAGUGUCCCUGGUAAAAUAUGAUAGACUAGGAUCUUGUCCUUGGUUAGGGUCGGGGGCAGGGGUGGGUAUGGGAUUAAGGAGGCUUACAGACUGAGAGUAGGGCCUUGGAACAUAGGAACUUUGUCCAGAAAGUCCAUUGAGUUAGUGAAGAUCCUUAAGAAGAGAAGAUCAAUAUAAACUGCAUUCAAGAGACAAGAUGGGUAGGUUCUAAGGCUUGGGAUGUGGACGGGUUCAAACUUUGGUACUCAGGAAGUCCGGGGAACAAGAAUGGUGUAGGCAUUCUAGUAGAUGGAGACCUUAGGGAACAAGUGGUAGAGGUUCGGAGGGUUAACGAUUGGUUGUUGGUGAUCAAGCUAGUCGUUGGAGGGAUAACUUUGAAGGUCGUUAGUGCUUAUGCUCCAUAUAUAAGUUUAGACGAAGAGGUCAAGACGCGUUUUUGGGAGGAAUUGGAUGCAUUUUUGGGAGAUAUGUCGAUCACCAAGAAGGUUUUCAUUUGCGGAGAUUUCAAUGGCCACAAUGGGGCAACUCCUAGUGGUUUUGACAAUGUGCAUGGCGGCAGUGGUUUUGGGGUUAAAAAUCGUGGUGGAAACUCAUUCUUGAAUUUUGCUAGAGCUUUUGAGUUGGCGAUAGCUAAUUCGUGCUUUCCGAAGAAGAAUGAUCACUUGAUUACCUUUGAUAGCGCGGUGGCUAAAACUCAGAUAGAUUACUUGCUUAUGAGGAAAGCCGAUAGAGGCCUUUGUAAGGAUUGCAAAGUUAUUCCGAGUGAGAAUCUUACUACUCAGCAUAAGCUCUUGGUGAUGGACUUGGAGAAUAAGCGAGGGGGGAAGAAGAAGUUAUAUGUCUGGCCUAGAGAGGGCGGGGUUGACACCCUCUCCCAUGUAAUUGGGGAUAAGUUGACGACGGUGGGAGUUUGGAGAAGUAGUGGGGAUGCUUUCGGCAUGUGGAAUAAGAAAGCUAGUCGCAUUAGGGAAGCUGCUAGAGAGAUGCUAAGGGUGUUGAAGGCUAACUUUGGUGAACACCAAGGGGAUUGGUGGUGGAAUGGAGAAGUUCAAGGCAGAGUGGAAGCAAAAAAGGUUGCGCAUGUGAAGUGGGUAGACUGCACGGACGAGGCCGAGAAGUGAGCGAAUAAGGGAAUAUAUAAGGUGGCAAGGAUGGAGGCUAAGUUAGCAGUUACAACAGCUAAGAGAACAACUUUUGAAAGACUGUAUGUUGAACUUAGAGACGGAGGUAGAGAUAAGAAGUUGUACACGCUCGCGAAGGCAAGGGAGAGAAAGGCCUGAGACUUGGAUCAAGUGAAGUGUAUCAAGGAUAAAGAAGGCAAGGUGUUAGCGGAGGACAUCCUCAUUAAGCAAAGAUGGCAAGCAUACUUUCACAAACUUUUGAACGAAGACUAUGAAAGUUUGGGAGAGAGUGGUGGAGAUGAGAGUGAGAAGUGAGUGUCUAUUGCCGAGUAUCAGUUCAGAUUCAUACCAGGGGAAUCGACCACGGAGUCACCCAUCUUGUGAGGAGAUUGAUGGAAAAAUAUUAAGAAAGGAAGAGGAAUUCACAUAUGGUGUCCAUUGACCUUGAAAAGGCUUAUGAUAAAGUUCCAAGGAAAGUCUUGUGGCGAUGCCCGGAGGCAAGAGGUGUAUCCCUGGCCUGUAUUAGGGCGAUAAAGGACAUGUAUGAAGGAGCUAAAACACGGGUAAGAACUGCGGGAGGAGACUCGAAGCAUUCUCUGUGGAGAUGGGAUUACACUAGGGGUCAACUCUUGGUACAUUUCUAUUUGCCUUAGUGAUGGAUGUAUUGACGCGAGACAUUCAAGAUAAGGUGAUGAGGUGACAUAGUACUGAUUGUUGAGAUGCGCAAUGGAGUUAAUGCUAAGUUAGAGGUGUGGAGACAAACUCUGGAGGCUAAAGGGUUCAGGUUGAGCCAGACUAAGACAGAAUAUGUGGACUGCAAAUUCAAUGAUGUGAUGGAUGAGGUAGGCAUGGAAGUGAUGUUUGACACAAAAUAUCCCCAAGAGAGAUAGAUUUAAGUAUCUUGGGUCUAUAAUUUAGGGGAGUGGGGACAUUGACGAUAAUAUCAUACACUGUAUUGGUGCAGCGUAGAUGAAGUGGAGGCUUGCCUCUAGAUUCUUGUGUGAUAAAAAAGUAUUGUUGGAACACAAACAUAAGUUCUAUAGAGUAGUGGUUCGAUCGACAUUGUUGUAUGGGACUUAGUCUUGGCCAAUCAAGAACUCCCAUGUACAAAAUAUGCAUGUUGCGGAGACGAGGAUGUUGAGGUGGAUGUGUGGUCAUACUAGGAGUGAUAAGAUUAGAAAUGAGGAUAUUUGAUAAGGUUGGAGUGGCCUCCGUGAUGGACAAGACACAAGAUGAGGGAAGCGAGACUGAGAUGGUUUUGACAUGCAAGGAGGAGAUGCAUAAGCACACCGGUGAGAAAGUGCGAGAGGUUGGUUAUAGACGGUUUGGACAUGUGAAAAGAAGAUGCAUAGGCGCAUCAGUGAGGAAGUGCGAGAGGUUGGUUACAAAGGAGGAGAGGCAGAGAUAGGCCGAAGAAGUAUUGAGGAGAGGUGAUAAGACAUGAUAUGAUGCAGCUUCAGGUUACCGAGGACAUGACCUUAGAUAGGAGGGUGUGGAAGACACAUAUUAGGUUAGUAGGUAGUGUAGUGUUAUCCUGCUUAGGAUGGCUAGUGUUUGCAAUGGUACUAGUUGUAUUAUUUCUUGUUUUAUUUAUUUUUAUCAUUGUUUAUUAUUGGUUUUUAAUUAUCUAUCCUAGUAUGUUUUUAUGGUGUUUCGAUUAUUGCAUGAUUUUAUUGUUGUUUUGGCUCCUCUCUAGUAGACUUUUGCACUAUUUCCUUGUUAUUUUCUAUAUUCUCUUAAUUGCCUUUUUCUUUAUACCGGGAUUUGUUGCACUUGAGCCGAAAGUCUUUCUUAAUCAGUCUCUCUACCUCCACGAGGUAGUGGUAAGGUCUACGUACAUUCUAUCCUCCCCAGACCUCACUUGUGGGAUUUCUCCGGGUAUGUUGUUGUUGUUGACUUGCCGUUUGAGCCCUCUUUACCUUUCUAAUGCACUCACUCUCCUAUAAUGUAUAUGUAGACAAUAUGGUGACAUAGGCACCAACGGAGAGGUUGUCCACCAAAACACUGAAAUAGUUGUCAACUACACCGGACAUCACUCUUUUUUGCCUAAAUAGAAACAGAAUCGUGAGUUCCCAUUUUUUGGCACAACUCUUUCGAAGUGAAGGUAAUGUGCGUAAAAAGCUAGGAGAGAAAAUGUUCUAUCACACAAUUUUCUCAGUUCGUAAUUAUAUGUCCAAAGAAUAUAUAAAAAUACAUUAUACACACACAUACAACAUAUACGUAUUAUUGUAUAUGUGUGCGCUGUGUGUAUAUACUCAUUUUUUUUAAAAUUGGUAAAUUGUAUUCAUUCAGCAUUAAGGCUAUGCUGGCCAGCUCCAAAAAGUUUACAAAAAGAAAAGAGAGAUACUUACAAAGAGCCUAUAAAAUCCACUAGUUGGAUUUCCUCUUCUAUACUUUGUUCUUUACACCAAAAACCUAGUGAAGUAAUAACUUUCCACUUAAUCUUCAAAAUAGAGGAUUCUUUUCCUUCAAAGAUCCUCUGGUUCCUUUCCUUCCAAAUGGUCCACCAGAUGCAGGCUGGGACUGUCCUCCACCGUCUUUUUUGGCUUUUGCUUCCUCCUCAUUUUGUCAGUAUUGACACAACUUAAUUCCAGAAAUACUUGAACUAACAAAUUAACAAUCACAACAAUCUUGCUACUUUACAAACAAUGCUUAUGUAAAUCUUUAAAUGCAGUACAGCAAAGUUUGGAGCUUCAAGAUUUCAGGCAGAUAGAGGCAAGUCAAGAGAAACCGAAUACGCCUUGAGAAUCUGCCGAAGAAGUAACCUUCUUGAAUCUACCAGUAUAUGUGGCCAGCUAGAAAUUAGAGGGUUAAGAGGCUCUUGAUUUCCAACUUUUACGAACUAAUAAGAAUGUCCAGACUUCAACUUCUAUUAAGAUUGCUAAUUUAUGAAAACAAAUACUAUAACUUUUUUUAUAGUUAAUGAAACAAAUACAAUAACAAGAAACUUUCAAACAAAAAAAAUCAAAUUGACAGCUCUUUGGUAAAUAAAAAGGUUGUCUCUAAAGCUCUCCAAGGAGUUAACAGUGCCUAGAAUUUCUGUUGGAAAAUUUAUAGAUGGGGAAAAUAUAAUAUCAAAAUAAUAAUACGAGAAUUAAGAUAAAUACUAUUACAAUAAUAUUCUUAAGUAAUAUAUAUAAAUAAUACUUGAGUCGUGCUAGGCACUGUCCUAAGAAACUAUUUCAGCAGUGUGAAAUGUUUCUCCAAGAUUAAACAAGCCUUCUCUAAUUAAUUAGAGGAUACAAGAAUCAACAAAAUAUAAAUACUACAAAAUAAGCAGGUCGGAAGAGGGUAUUUUGAAAUUGGUUGUAUCUUACUACUUCACUUGGUUAUAUGCCCUCAAGACUACAUCAACUUAUAUAUAGGAGAGUUUAGGCCUUGAAGCUUGGAGAAGAGGAUAACAUUACUUGGAGACAAAGGGAAUUAAUACUUGGAGGCAAAGGAAAUUAAUACUUGUUCAUCAAGUUGAUGGCAUAUGCACAUUAGUCAUCAACUUAAUGACAUAAGUGCUUAAGUCAUAAACUAAUAGAGUCCAAAAUAUGUCUCAAAAUAUAUUUUAAAAUAUCCAACAAUUUCAAUAUCUGAACUGCACAACCUAAAGGUCCUAAACAGGUAUAAAGGUAGCCUACCACAUUGGAAUUUAAGUUGGAUUAAAAAAAGUAAAACCUCUGAAACAGGAAGACCAAAUGUAGACCCCGAUAAUGUUGCUUUGACUGUCUCGAUAGCACCAAGAAGAGGAGCUCCUGAAACCACAAGAAAGCAGCGAUUCCAGAUAAGGACCAAUCCCUAAUUUCUGAGAUAAAACUGGAGGUCAAAUAGUAUUUUGGUUAGCAAAGGCAUACCAACAGCAAAAUAGGCAUGAAUGUGAUCGUCUAACCAUCGACCAUACUCUUUUGGAGCAAUCUCUAAUUUCAACCACUCCAAGAAGUAUCUAAAGACAUUGUUAC
rnacentral:lncRNA from 1 species